GUGAAAGGAGGCCUUUGCAAAAUAGAAAAAGUACUUUCAUUCCAGAGAGAGCCCUAGGAAUAAAAAAAAAGAGGAAUCUGCAAAGAAAAGCAGUAGGGGAGAGAGCUAAUACCACUAGUUUCAUUCUCAUAAGGGAAAGAGAGACAUUUUAGAAAAGAUCUAUUGUGUGAACUUGAAAACAAGAUGUAGGGUCAGAAAUGCUGUGGUGGCAGGUCCGUGGAGGAAGUAGCCAUCAAAUAAUAGCCUUGAUUGCAAGCCAGUGUUAAUUAGGCUUGUGGGGCCCUCAAUGAGCAAAGAAGAUUGAGCUCUAACCAUCAGUUCCCCACAUGAAGGUUUAUUGUAAUAUGAAAAAGUUAUUUAAAUUUCACUUCACGUUGUCCUUUUGAAUCCUCGCAUUAAUAAAAUCGUUUUCAGUGGAAAUAGCAGCAGCAAGAAAUAGAAAAUACUAACAGCAAGAUUUUUUUUUUUAAUGCCCAUAAGAAGCAGCUUGGAAAUUGACACUCGGUUGCCAGGCACGUUUUACAGCUUUGCUCUUUACCAUGGACCAGAGAUAAUUUUCCUUAUGGAGAAUUUACAAGUUUCCAGAUGCAUUAUGCUGAAGAUAGCCAGGAUCCAGUACAAGGUUGGUGUCCCACUACAAAGCAAGGGCCUGCCACAACCAGAUGCAUGUUUCAACGACAUCGAAAGACUCACCUUGGACUCAUUGCUGACUUGUCAACCAGAACUCCAAUAUCUGAGUUUGUCAAGAUGAGCAGUUUUGCCAGCUCUUCAUUGUGAAGUGAGAGGAAGAUAUCUUGGAAAUGAGAGCGAAAAGACACCAGGACCAUGACUACUUUUACUUCCAUUCCCCAAUGCCCAUCCUCUCCAAACCUCAAAGUUUAUGGGUUGAUGAGGUCAUUUUGCCGAGGUCAUUUUGCCAAGGUCACAGACCUCAGGGCUGUUCUGGGAUAGGGACAUCAAGCUGUGUGUUCUGCCUCUUAUUUUAUUG
rnacentral:lncRNA from 1 species